GAUGAAGAACGCAGCGAAAUGCGAUAAGUAAUGUGAAUUGCAGAAUUCAGUGAAUCAUCGAAUCUUUGAACGCACAUUGCGCCCGCCAGUAUUCUGGCGGGCAUGCCUGUUCGAGCGUCAUUACAACCCUCAGGCCCCCGGGCCUGGCGUUGGGGAUCGGCAGAAGCCCCCUGUGGGCACACGCCGUCCCCCAAAUACAGUGGCGGUCCCGCCGCAGCUUCCAUUGCGUAGUAGCUAACACCUCGCAACUGGAGAGCGGCGCGGCCAUGCCGUAAAACACCCAACUUCUGAAUGUUGACCUCGAAUCAGGUAGGAAUACCCGCUGAACUUAAGCAUAUCAAUAAGCGGAGGA
rnacentral:misc_RNA from 1 species